CUAGAUGAAUCUUUUACCUUUUAAAGUUAGUUAUUUCGCAACGUUGGAAGUGCAAAACCUUUGGCAAGCCUUUAACGUAUACUUUGACUCGUCCACUUGUGAAAUCUCGGUGUCAUCACUUUUACGAAAGCGAGGAGUAAAAUUGAGUCCAGACCAGUGAAAAAAACUGACAUUGAUGAAUUUUCCUCAAAGCAACAGUCGAGGAAUUCUUUAAACAGGGGCAGAUAAAAUACGCUAAAAUGGAAACGACAUCAAAAGUUGAUAAUGAAAUGCUAAAUACGUUACAAUGGACAGAAGAUUCAUACUCCUUAAAAGAUUUUGUUGACGUUUUUUCACUUCCACAAGUUGUGAAAGUUAUCAGUGGUUAUGAUGGUGGUGAGCACAGUCCUACCAUUCGUCAUGGACAAGUCCUUACUCUCCAUGCUAUCAGAGAUUCAAGCAUAUUCCAAGCUGAAGACACAGAGAUAAAAAGAUAUUUGAUGCUGGCAAAACGUGUGCUGUUAGAGCAAUACCUGUCGGAGAGUUUCUCCUGAAGAGGUCGAAAAAGAACAAAAAUGGAAGCGAUGAUGUUGGAGAAUCCUUUGAAGAUGUUUGAAAUUCAGUGGCGGAGCCAGCCCGUAUAUUUGGUCGUGCUGUGUUAAUUUUUCUAUGUUCACUCACUGUAAAAACAACAGACUUCUAGAAAAAUGAAUGAUGAUAAUGAUUUAAAAUUUACAUAUAGCUGCACUAAAACUUGAGGGCUGGUUUCCCCACUGUUGAAAUUUUCUUUGUAUAUUUCCAACGAUGUCGUUUUUAAAGAUUUUAUUAUAAUGUCUCUUUCAUUAUUGUCAUAAAUGACAAAUGGACAAAGCUCCAUGUUGGCCAGCUUGGUGUAUACAGAGCGCAAAUCUCUGUUUUGGCUCAUUUUAUAUUAGCUUGGCAACAAAAAAUCUCGUUUGCAACCUUUCUAUUUUUUGGGUCAUUUUUGCUUCUAUUUCAGUGAAACACAUAAAUUGUUGAUAAAAUAAAUUCACAGACAAAAUUUUUCAUUCAUUGUUAAAUAUGACGAACAAAGACUGGGGAGGAGAACACGGGAAAUAUUCUGACUCAAAUUUGACGUUAUACCAGUGAACUCUUUAAACAACCGGAACGAUAACUUCGCCGCCAUAUUGGCUUCAUUUUAUUAUAUUGCUUUGUAUUAAAGUGAUCCGUCCAGUCUUUUAAAAGAGUACACUGCGUUAUACUUCAACAUUGGGACAUCGAAUUUCACAUUAUAAUGUAUUAUAUUGCGGUUUGUGGAAGACUUUUUCCGGAAGUUUUGUUCGAAACCUGCAGCCACCAUAUUGUUAUUAGAUUUCAAGCAAAAUAAUUCAAUUAUUAAAUAUUUCCAAUGAAAAUACAAAAUAAAAUGAGAUCUGUCCCAAAAAA